rnacentral:rRNA from 1 species
UGGUGGCAAUAGCGCAGAGGAUCCACCUGUACUCAUCCCGAACACAGAAGUUAAGCUCUGCCGCGCCGAAAGUACUUGACGGGCAACUGUCCGGUAGGAUAGGUCGUCGCC